rnacentral:tmRNA from 1 species
GGGGCUGACCGGUUUCGACGUCAGUAUCGCUGUUCGAGUUUGCGACCCGAGUUGCUCAGACUCGCUAAACGGGGCAACCAAAAGAAUUGCCAAACCAGAGCAGUUCACUCUCGCCGCCUGAUCUAGCAACCGCUAGCGAGGGAGACGAAGAGUCAUCGUGAGCAGAAAUGCCGCACGGGGCCACUCCACCGCAGCCCGGCACCAGAAGCGGAGGAUGACGGCGAGAAAGAUCGCUGACGGCGAGAAAGACCGCUGACCCACCGGAAAGACGGUGCGUGGUCCGCCUCGAGCGGACAAUCGACCCGCCGAUGACACAGCGUCAGCGUCACUGCCGGGAAUGGUCGUAGCGGGUUCGGGUAUCGGCUGAUGGACGGGGGUUCGAUUCCCCCCAGCUCCACCA